CGGAAUGUAAAAACUACUGCACGUAUGCCUACGACUGUCAUAUCGCAAUCAUAAAACGUUCCGGCGAUUAAGUUCACGUUAGCACUUGUGCUUUUAUAAACGCGGUCUCAAGUAUGAUUGCACAAACGCGCAUUCCAACGCGGUCACGUCCGGAAGCCCUAGCCUAGGUUCAGCCUUCGGUUGGUCGGAUCUCAAAAAAGUCACUCUUGUAUACAAGACUAACGGGCUGGCAGAUAACAUGGGUAGUUCCACCUACAUGAAAAUAACCGAAUGAAUAAUUCGGAUACUUCCAACUCGAAAUUUUGGAAUCAACAUCAAAUUUGAAAUAUGCUACGCAUGCGUCUGACGCACACAAUGUGCACGUCUGAAUUUUCGACGUACGACGAUGUCAUUUGUACAAGCGCAUCGCAAGUGAUUGUAAUGCAAUCGCCAGUAUUGUGAAACUGCGACAAAGCUCUAGUAAUAGACUGGUGCCCACCCUAGGCUUCUCUGGUGUUAUGCCGGCCCUGCAAGACUAUACGUUUCACAGCGACGUUGCCGGGAACCCUAAUGAUAAGGGGAAACACAUUCUCUUCUAGCAUCAGCAGCGUAUGUUAAAAACUAAGCAUUGGAAUCACGGCCCGCGCGAAAAUUACGUCGAUGGAGAAAAAUUUCAAACUGGAUCCAAAUCUACAGCCACUGAUCGAAGAUAGAUCUGUGAAGAAACCUGGGACUACAUCUUGAUAAAUACAGACCUGCAGGUUUCUUCACGUGGAUCUCUUGAAAGAGAGGAGCAACGUAUUAAGUGGGCAUAAUCGUCAACACAAGCAAGUCCAAAUCUUCUUCAAAUUGACAUCGUUCUGUAUACACUGGAAACACUCAUCUUCGAAUACAACGCAAGAGUAAAUGCAUCUUUGAGAGGAAGGAUAUUGCAAGUGGAAUAAGACUGAUUUUUUCGGAGCUGUUUUAUAGCGUCACCAACCGGUAUAAGAUGCCGUUAGAAACCUGCAUUGCAUCCAUCAAGGUGUUGGAAUUAAUCGAUAGCGACAUUUGCUUUGCAUUUGACGAGCUACGGUUACCACAGAACGUGAGCACCAUUAAACUGCAUAUGAGAGCCUCUUAUUGUUUAGUUUCUCUUUCGCUAAUUACUAGAUAGCCUUUAUGUUCUAUGGACAAUAGGGUAGCUACAACAAUUAUCGUACUUCGAUAUCUUCUAGAAAAUUAUUGAAAAGUUCCUUUAAUGAUGAUGUAAUUAUCGAAAUUAAAAGAGUCCCCCAUAUACAGAUAGGUACCCCAGAUAAGCAUGUUUAUUUUGUUCCUUCACUGAUACUGCAGUGGUGUAACACCUAGUACAACAUAUUUUUUAGCUUUUGUUUUGAAAUUAAUCAAAUUACAUUCCUAUCAAUUGACUGUUUAUCUACAAGGCAAGGACUUUUAUGAGUUUUCAUGAUAGUAUGUUUACAAGAUACAUAAUAAAAACCAACGUAGGUGUUAUUGCAUCUCAGGUCAAAAAUCUUUGAACAGAAUGUAAAAUUCGGUAGAAUUCCCAAUAUUCUCAUUCUUGUUUACGACGAAUGCGAGUUUCUGGUUCGUAUUCUCGUUUGCGAGAGGAAACUUCAAUGCGCUUACUAUUCGUUCGAACGAAUCGCGCAUUCGUCGUAAACAAGGGCCCUAUUCUCACAGUCACAUCACCUAGUGAAUAUAAGAAAAUUUCUUUUUAGUCACCAAGUGACGUGACUGUGAGCAUAGGGCCCCAAGAGUAAGGGUGAAAACUUUGAAAAUAAAAGAAAGCAGUUUUGCCCAAGUCGACGUAAAAAUCAUUACGAAAAGCAAUCAGCAGAAAGAUUCAAUAGAAAAUAG